rfam:Microgenomates (Levybacteria) bacterium GW2011_GWC1_40_19 TT87_C0012, whole genome shotgun sequence.
AGGGGUAUCGGUUAACGGUAAACCAGCGGUCUCCAAAACCGCGACUGGGGGUUCGACUCCCUCUACCCCUG